AGAAUUUAGCACUCAGUAUUUUUGUAAAGUUAACAGAAAAGGAGUGAUUAGUUUAAGUAGCUCUGACUUGCUACACAGUUGGCCAGUGUCGACAGUUUCCCAAUCUCAAUUGUGGCUUGUCCAGGACUUUGACUUUGACUUGCUCUAAGUCAAGUUUAGUAGAGGAGCUGCUCAAAAGUCAUUAGGAUGUUUUAGAAGUUUUGCAUUUCAAGCAGGUGAUAAACUGAAAGAAGAGGAGUAAUCACUGCUGAGAAUAAGUAAGCAAUGUCCCACAUGAGUCCAGAUGAAAAUCCAGAGCUCAUGAAAAUGCCUUCCACGAGUCCAACUGGAGGUCCAGAGCCCACAAGAAGCACUCACACCAGUCUCUUUAUGGAUCCGUGCCGGGAAGGCCCAAAGGUCAGCGGUGGAAGCCAGAAAGUCCAUGCUAGCGGGGUGAAGGAGCUGUGCUGGUAGGUUGAGGGUUCUAUGCUGGAGCCGAGAAGUUACACUCACAAGGUCAGGGCUGUUCUGAAAAGCACCACAGCCAUCCUCAGCGACAUGGAGGCCCAGAGCUCCUCUGAUGACAAGCACUGUCAAGUACCUGCCAAGAAGGCAGCGUGAUGAGUUCAUCCUGGAGACCAAGCAGCACACGUCUUGCCCUCCAGAGCCAGGAAGCAAUGUUCCAUGUGAGGACCAAUGCUUUCCCAGGAGAACCAAUGGCUUAAACAGCAGCUCAUAGGAGAACCCACAAUGCCUCAAUGCAAUAAUGCAUUAACACCCUAACACUCUCCUUUUCCAACUAUUUAUGCUGGCAGUUUUCUUCAGGUGGAGCAUCUUCGCUCAGUGCCAUGCUGAUGUAAUCCAGCUGGCGUUAAGUUGACCAACAGUUCUUAAUCCAUAGCAUCAGAGUAAUAGUACCUACAUCAUACAAGUUUUUGUGACUUGUAAAUAUGAUAUGAUCCAUAAGACUACUUAGUACAGUGUUUUAUAAAUGUGAGUUCAUUAAUCAGGUUAAAGCAAAGUGUAAAAGUGCAUUCUAGCAGUGCUCUUUGCCAGGUCCCACCUUUGUGCCUUGUGGUGGUUCCUGGGUGCCUUCCUGAAACUGUUUCAUGAAAAGUAGUUUGAAAACUUCUGGUCUGGUUCCUCUCCCUCAGUUUACAUAUGAGGAACCUGGGCUCUGGAUUGAGGAGUAGCAUCUGAAUGCUCACCAGGCUCACAUAACCAUUACUAGGGAAUUGUGCCACGUAACUAUGCUAGCGGUUGCAGCUCCUCUCUUUGUAUGGUCUGAGAAAUGGAAAGUAAAGCACCAAAAUAGAAAAAGCUUUUAAAAGUAUAAAGUAACCAGUAAAGUAAUAUGCCUUGCCUUGAUGAUGUUUGUAGAGUUUAGUAAACACUGAUCAGAUAGGUGAGCUGAGUGGAUUCUUUUGUCGUUUUUUUACUCUCAUAAAUGUCAUUUUGAGCAGUCUUUUUAAAAAUCAUGUAUAAUCUCCCACUGGAAGUUCUAAAAAAACUUGACAGUGUCUUAGGAGGACUACUCAAUUUAUUUUAUGAUAGAACUAUAAUUCUCAGCAAAUAUGGGCUUUGUGCCACCAUAUCUUGGAUUUGUUCUUCAAAUAGUGACGGAAAUAUGAUAAUGUUUAUGGUAAAUGAUGAGUGAAAUGUAAUAAAACAUAUGGUGUUGAUAUAUAGCUAAUAGUUUGUUACUAGCAAUUUUUGUGAAAUAUCAUUUAAGUCAUAAAUUAUAUCAUUGAGUCUUAAUUACAGAGUCCUUUAUAAGAUAUUGUGCUCUUCUGAUUAACAAAGUACCAUAUAAUUAAUCCUGUAGAUAUACAUUUAAAAUGUAAUGUCAGAUUGUGAGAACAUGAAAAAGAAAGCUAUGCCAUUUACUUUCCAAGAACUUUCCAACUCAGGAAUUGUGAAUUACUACAUGUUUUGAAGAACAGCUUAUGUCAGUCAUUAUCAAAAAAGGUUGAAAUUGUGCCAACCUUGUCACCUGGCACUUCUAGGAAUUUGUUCAUAGGAAAGGAAUCUAAAGGUGUGCAUAAAGAUUUCUACUUUAAUUUGAACAACCUCCUUUCUUACUGGAAAUUUUUUACUUGUAAGAAAAAGAAAAGGAAAUGUUAUAUAAAUAAGUACUUCAUUUGGCAGCCACAAGUCAAGUUCUCUCGUUUUCUUUCUCCUUUUGAGUGAAUGAAAAAGGGAGGAACAAGACACGAAAUGUCAUCCAGUAACACCACAGUGCAGUGAUUAUGUCCUCUGGUAUAUCCUGCCAUGAUGUCCUCACUUUUCUCCUAUCUCAGGAUUAUGUCCCUGAAAGCCUUCCCAGCUCUGGAAGGCUAACCCUCACAUCUCUAGAUGUGACAACCCUAGCUGUGGACUGUGCUCAUUGGAGGUGGGGGAGUUUAGAGAGGUGGGACCAAUGAUGGGGCCAAGCAGUGUUGGGGAAGAAAAAUCCCUGCCUUGUUGACAGUUGGCCAGAAUCUAGUUUAAGGAGGCAAAGCAGCCAGAGUAAAGUCUAGCCUUGUUCUGGUCAGAAUACAUCAUUCUAUAGCAGAAGGGAGUAUCAUCUGUUGAGAUUGAGUGCAGAGGUCUAGGUAUGAGGAUUGUUUUCUCUGCAUUGUUUAUAAUAAUGAAAAUUGUGAGUAAACCAAAUGUCUACAGAGACUGGUUAAACCAUUGAGUCCCUGUUAGGAAACCAUUGAGUUUCCUUUGCUAUGAAAAAUAUCUGAGAAAGUCAACUUAAUGGAGGAAAAUUUGUUUCAUUUCACAGUUUUAGAGGUUCUGGUCAAUGGCUGGUGACUCCAUUGCUUUUAUACAGAACAUCAUGGCAGAAGGGCAUAGCAGCGGAGGUUACUCACUUUAUGGUUUAAGUUCCUAGUGUUUGAAAUUAUUCCAGAUGACUGUGAACUUUUAAUAAUCUAUACUAGAUAGGGUUGGUUGUAAGAUACUGUAUAUAGCUUUUUUCUGUAUUCAGAAGUAUAUUUGAACAGUGGAAACCUCAUCAAAAUUGUUGUCUAGUGUCAUAUUUUAAAACAGAUUUCCAUUUUCAUUUAUUUUGGCAUUGAAUGCUUUUUGCCUGACAUAGUAGUAAUCAACUUUAGUAAUUGAUUAGGAGUCCAGUGUGUAGCUGAAUGUAAUUGAGAGGAUUUGAUGAGUUUCUAAUUUGACAGUUAUAAGAAUUUUAAAUUUAAAUAUGUAGCAGUUACUCAUUGGAUAUAACUUAGUGGGGAAACUGUUUUGAAAUAUUUAUGUCUUUUUUCAGUACUGGAAAUUUGUACCGAGAGCCUUUGAAGUGAGCUAUAUCCUCAGCCUAUUUUAUUUUAUAUUUUGAGACAGUGUCUCUCUAAGUGCUGAGUUGUUCAGGCUGGGCUCAAACUUGCUAUCUUUUUGCUUCACCUUCCAAAGUACUAGGAUUAUCGACAUGUGCCACUAUGCCCUACUUAAAAAAAUUUUUUUAACCACUAAUUUGUAUUUCAGUUUAUAUUAGACAAGGAUAUUGUUAUUACAAUGAUAGAUGCAAAUAGCCUGAUUUUUGCUACUGGACAAGUAUUUUAUAAACACAUUUAUAGAACUGAGUAUAACAGAGUGGUUUUUUUUUAAGUUAUAUAUGCUUAACAGUUAGAUUUUUAAAAAUCUAUGAUAAUAUUGUUUUCCUUUUUUUUUUUUUUUUUUUUUUUUUUUC